AUGCUUACCUGGCAGGGGAGACACCAUGAUCAAGAAGGUGGUUCACCCAGGGUCCUUAACGUCUGUUCUGGUUUAGAGUAUUAAACAGAACAACUCUUUGGUGCGAAGGAAUACAGUUCGUUUUGAGCUCCUUGA
rnacentral:snRNA from 1 species